UGCUCUAUUUUAUUUCUUUGUAUCUCACAUUUAUUUUUCAGCAACACCCUAGUUAUGGAAAAGACUCAAAAAAUAUCAACAAAAAGAGGACUGGGGCAACAUCAUGAAAUCCAAGUCUUUAAUGAGCCACCACUCAAGAUAUUUAGAAGCAUUCUUCCUUUUCACAGUAUUCUAAAUAAUGUUACUGAUGUUGUUCAAUGGGGAUUCUGCAAUGCAAGAGAAAUAUCUCCCCUGGUUGUGUGCAGUCAGCUCUAGUUUGAAUGUAUGAGAAUAUCUGUGAGUUGGUCUUCAUCAUCACCCAGAAUCACACUACUGGGAAUGGCAGCAGUAUCCUUUGGUACAGCGAAGUCAACUCCAGAAACAGUGGCUCACGGCUCUCCUCAGAUUAUCUCCUCAGGCCAAUAUCAUAUGAGGUAAUAAAGUGUGAUUCCAGCAGACCCAGAGACUGCCUCUUGGAGAACCUGGCACAUGAUCACUGUCCCUUUUUAAACUGACAAGCAAGCCACAACAAAAGAACAGGAGUCCAUUAUU